GUGAGGAAUAUUGCGCAAUGGAGGCAACUCUGACGCAGCCAUGCCGCGUGCAGGAAGAAGGCGCUACGCGUUGUAAACUGCUUUUAACCGGGAAGAAACCCCAGGACGUGUCCUGGGUUGACGGUACCGGAGGAAUAAGCACCGGCUAACUUCGUGCCAGCAGCCGCGGUAAUACGAAGGGUGCAAGCGUUAUCCGGAUUCUUUGGGUUUAAAGGGUGCGUAGGCGGAGCGUUAAGUCAGUGGUGAAAUCCUGCAGCUUAACUGUAGACUUGCCAUUGAUACUGGCGCUCUUGAGUGCGCUUGAAGUGGGCGGAAUGUGCCGUGUAGCGGUGAAAUGCUUAGAUAUGGCACAGAACACCAAUUGCGAAGGCAGCUCACUAAGGCGAUACUGACGCUGAGGCACGAAAGCGUGGGGAUCGAACAGGAUUAGAAACCCGGGUAGUCC
rnacentral:rRNA from 1 species